rnacentral:rRNA from 1 species
UACGUAAGGACCGAGCGUUGCCCGGAAUCAUUGGGCGUAAAGGGUACGCAGGCGGUUUAAUAAGUCGAAUGUUAAAGAUCGGGGCUCAACCUCAUAAAGCAUUUGAAACUUCUAGACUUGAGUAGUGGAGAGGAAAGUGGAAUUCCUAGUGUAGCGGUGAAAUGCGUAGAUAUUAGGAAGAAUACCAGUGGCGAAGGCGACUUUCUGGACACAAACUGACGCUGAGGUACGAAAGCGUGGGGAGCAAACAGG